GGUCGCUUAGAUCAGUUGGUUAGAUCGUGGUGCUAAUAUAGACUCGCCUAUAAAGCAGUCACGCCAAGGUCAAGGGUUCGACCCCCUUAGUGACCA